AGAGUUUGAUCCUGGCUCAGGAUGAACGCUAGCGGCAGGCUUAACACAUGCAAGUCGAGGGGCAGCGGGGAGGAAGCUUGCUUUCUCCGCCGGCGACCGGCGCACGGGUGAGUAACACGUAUGCAACCUGCCCCUGUCAGGGGGACAACCCGCCGAAAGGCGGGCUAAACCCGCGUACAUGCCACCGGGGCAUCCCGGAGGCAGGAAAGGCUUCGGCCGGACAGGGAUGGGCAUGCGGCGCAUUAGGCAGUAGGCGGGGUAACGGCCCACCUAACCGACGAUGCGUAGGGGUUCUGAGAGGAAGGUCCCCCACACUGGUACUGAGACACGGACCAGACUCCUACGGGAGGCAGCAGUGAGGAAUAUUGGUCAAUGGUCGGGAGACUGAACCAGCCAAGCCGCGUGAGGGAUGAAGGUACAGAGUAUCGUAAACCUCUUUUGUCAGGGAACAAAGGCGGGGACGUGUCCCCGGAUGAGUGUACCUGAAGAAAAAGCAUCGGCUAACUCCGUGCCAGCAGCCGCGGUAAUACGGAGGAUGCGAGCGUUAUCCGGAUUUAUUGGGUUUAAAGGGUGCGCAGGCGGUCUGUUAAGUCAGCGGUCAAAGCCCGGGGCUCAACCCCGGCCCGCCGUUGAAACUGGCAGUCUCGAGUUGGAGAGAAGUAUGCGGAAUGCGCGGUGUAGCGGUGAAAUGCAUAGAUAUCGCGCAGAACUCCGAUUGCGAAGGCAGCAUGCCGGCUCCACACUGACGCUGAGGCACGAAAGCGUGGGUAUCGAACAGGAUUAGAUACCCUGGUAGUCCACGCAGUAAACGAUGAAUGCUGGCUGUCCGGGGGGGAUUGACCCCUGGGUGGCGAAGCGAAAGCGAUAAGCAUUCCACCUGGGGAGUACGCCGGCAACGGUGAAACUCAAAGGAAUUGACGGGGGUCCGCACAAGCGGAGGAACAUGUGGUUUAAUUCGAUGAUACGCGAGGAACCUUACCCGGGCUCAAACGGGGAGUGACUCAGGCAGAGACGCCUGUUUCCCACGGGACACUCCCCGAGGUGCUGCAUGGUUGUCGUCAGCUCGUGCCGUGAGGUGUCGGCUUAAGUGCCAUAACGAGCGCAACCCCCGCGUGCAGUUGCUAACAGAUAACGCUGAGGACUCUGCACGGACUGCCGGCGCAAGCCGCGAGGAAGGCGGGGAUGACGUCAAAUCAGCACGGCCCUUACGUCCGGGGCGACACACGUGUUACAAUGGGUGGUACAGCGGGAAGCCAGGCGGCGACGCCGAGCGGAACCCGAAAUCCACUCUCAGUUCGGAUCGGAGUCUGCAACCCGACUCCGUGAAGCUGGAUUCGCUAGUAAUCGCGCAUCAGCCAUGGCGCGGUGAAUACGUUCCCGGGCCUUGUACACACCGCCCGUCAAGCCAUGGGAGCCGAGGGCGCUUGAAGUGCGUCGCCGCGAGGCGCGCCCUAGAGCGAAAUCGGUGACUGGGGCUAAGUCGUAACAAGGUAACC
rnacentral:rRNA from 1 species